CGGAUCGGAGUCUGCAACCCGACUCCAUGAAGCUGGAUUCGCUAGUAAUCGCGCAUCAGCCACGGCGCGGUGAAUACGUUCCCGGGCCUUGUACACACCGCCCGUCAAGCCAUGGAAGCCGGGGGUGCCUGAAGUGCGCUGCCGCAAGGAGCGCCCUAGGGUAAAACCGGUGACUGGGGCUAAGUCGUAACAAGGUAGC
rnacentral:rRNA from 1 species